AUUGAACGCUGGCGACAUGCCUUACACAUGCAAGUCGAACGGCAGCACGGGGGCAACCCUGGUGGCGAGUGGCGAACGGGUGAGUAAUGCAUCGGAACGUGCCCAGUAGUGGGGGAUAACCAGUCGAAAGAUUGGCUAAUACCGCAUACGACCUACGGGUGAAAGCGGGGGACCGUAAGGCCUCGCGCUAUUGGAGCGGCCGAUGUCUGAUUAGCUAGUUGGCGGGGUAAGAGCCCACCAAGGCGACGAUCAGUAGCUGGUCUGAGAGGACGAUCAGCCACACUGGGACUGAGACACGGCCCAGACUCCUACGGGAGGCAGCAGUGGGGAAUUUUGGACAAUGGGGGCAACCCUGAUCCAGCCAUUCCGCGUGAGUGAAGAAGGCCUUCGGGUUGUAAAGCUCUUUUGUCCGGAGCGAAACGGUCACGGUGAAUAUCCGUGACUACUGACGGUACCGGAAGAAUAAGCACCGGCUAACUACGUGCCAGCAGCCGCCGUAAUAC
rnacentral:rRNA from 1 species